rfam:Oryctolagus cuniculus chromosome 1, whole genome shotgun sequence.
UGUGAGGGUGAUGAGUUGCGCUCUGGCAACGUCAUGUAUUAGGAGUUGCAGUUCACAGUCAGUAUUGCCCUGAUGAAAGAAGUGCAAAGGCCCCUCA